rnacentral:rRNA from 1 species
AUUGAACGCUGGCGGCAUGCUUUACACAUGCAAGUCGAACGGCAGCGCGGGGCAACCUGGCGGCGAGUGGCGAACGGGUGAGUAAUAUAUCGGAACGUACCCAGAAGUGGGGGAUAACGUAGCGAAAGUUACGCCAAUACCGCAUACGAUCUACGGAUGAAAGUAGGGGACCGCAAGGCCUUAUGCUUUUGGAGCGGCCGAUAUCUGAUUAGCUAGUUGGUGAGGUAAAGGCUCACCAAGGCGACGAUCAGUAGCUGGUCUGAGAGGACGACCAGCCACACUGGAACUGAGACACGGUCCAGACUCCUACGGGAGGCAGCAGUGGGGAAUUUUGGACAAUGGGCGCAAGCCUGAUCCAGCAAUGCCGCGUGAGUGAAGAAGGCCUUCGGGUUGUAAAGCUCUUUUGUCAGGGAAGAAACGGUAGAGGCUAAUAUCCUUUGCUAAUGACGGUACCUGAAGAAUAAGCACCGGCUAACUACGUG